rnacentral:rRNA from 1 species
UACGUAGGGUGCAAGCGUUAAUCGGAAUUACUGGGCGUAAAGCGUGCGCGAGGCGGUUGUGCAAGACAGAUGUGAAAUCCCCGGGCUCAACCUGGGACUGCAUUUGUGACUGCACGGCUGGAGUGCGGCAGAGGGGGAUGGAAUUCCGCGUGUAGCAGUGAAAUGCGUAGAUAUGCGGAGGAACACCGAUGGCGAAGGCAAUCCCCUGGGCCUGCACUGACGCUCAUGCACGAAAGCGUGGGGAGCAACAGGAU